rnacentral:rRNA from 1 species
CCUACGGGUGGCAGCAGUAGGGAAUUUUCGUCAAUGGGCGCAAGCCUGAACGAGCAAUGCCGCGUGAACGAGGAAGGUCUUCGGAUCGUAAAGUUCUGUUGAAGGGGAAAAAGAGCGGAGAGAGGAAAUGCUUUCUGAUUGAUAUUACCCUUCGAGGAAGUCACGGCUAACUACGUGCCAGCAGCCGCGGUAAUACGUAGGUGGCGAGCGUUAUCCGGAAUGAUUGGGCGUAAAGGGUGCGUAGGCGGCCUGCUAAGUCUGGAGUGAAAGGUACCGGCUCAACGUGGGAACUGCCUUUGAAACUGGCAAACUGGAGGGUGUGAGAGGAUAGUGGAAUUCCAGGUGUAGGAGUGAAAUCCGUAGAUAUCUGGAGGAACAUCAGUGGCGAAGGCGACUAUCUGGCACAUAACUGACGCUGAGGAGCGAAAGCGUGGGUAGCAAACAGGAUUAGAUACCCUGGUAGUC